rnacentral:sRNA from 1 species
CCUUCCCUGUUGCUUCCCACCAUAACCAUGCCUGGUAUUACCUGCAGGAAGGCCAGAUCGUUCCUGUCUGACUCCAUUUGCAGAAACAGCAUGCAUGGAUGACUGCCCAGGUCGAACUUCAUCUGAAAAGCCAUUCUCCUGGAUGUCUUUUACUUUACUUGCAAUUGUUACAUCACCAAUCCCCUGAACAAUCUAGCAGUGGUAGACCCAUUUCUAGAUGGCAUUACAUUUGAAGAUCUGGAAUCAACAACAGGUCCUCUCUUUUGCCUAGUGCUUUGUGCCACGGGAGUGACAGCAACUGAAGGUAACAAUGAGUAAGGAGCCGAAGAUGCAACAGCGGCAAUUUUGGCGGCAGCUGUAGUAGCUGAAAUGAUCUGCUGUGCUCCUUCCCGAAGGUGAAUGAAGUCUCCUUCAAUCACAAAGAGCUCUGGAUGGCUAGCCACAAAAUCAUCUAGCUUCCCAUAGUGCUUCUUAUAGUCAUGCCAAUGAAGAGGAGCCAACAUUUUGCCAAGCCUAUUUGUUGUGCUAAUCUUGAUUCGGCCAUCAGGUCCAGCAGGAACUGCACGUACAAUGCAAGCCAGAAGGGAUCUCUCAUCUAGAAGGGAAGGCUCCUUUGGUAUGCGAGGUAAGAGUGAACCCAAACCACCACCAGCAGAAGUAUGCGUGUCAGUCUGAUUCCCAACGUUAGCAGUGAACUCUGCUGCACCACCUUUCAAGUGGAUUUGAGUAGUUGAUGCAUCAAAAUCUGAAGCUUUAUGCUGAUGCCUAGCUACCUGCUCCUCCGACUGGUUGCCCGAUGCAACUUUUUCAUCCUGGUGUACAUAGAGCUUUGAUAUAAGAUGCUUACACAUCAAAUAGAAAUUUACAAAAGAAACAAUGGUAAAUAUUUUAACCUUGAAUUCAUUUGUUUGCUCUUGAUGUUCAAAUUUUCGAAUAGGGCUGACAAUUGAAGAUGAAUCCUGGGCCUUU